rnacentral:rRNA from 1 species
AAAUUGAAGAGUUUGAUCAUGGCUCAGAUUGAACGCUGGCGGCAGACCUAACACAUGCAAGUCGAGCGGUAGCACAGAGAGCUUGCUCUCGGGUGACGAGCGGCGGACGGGUGAGUAAUGUCUGGGAAACUGCCUGAUGGAGGGGGAUAACUACUGGAAACGGUAGCUAAUACCGCAUAAUGUCGCAAGACCAAAGUGGGGGACCUUCGGGCCUCAUGCCAUCAGAUGUGCCCAGAUGGGAUUAGCUAGUAGGUGGGGUAACGGCUCACCUAGGCGACGAUCCCUAGCUGGUCUGAGAGGAUGACCAGCCACACUGGAACUGAGACACGGUCCAGACUCCUACGGGAGGCAGCAGUGGGGAAUAUUGCACAAUGGGCGCAAGCCUGAUGCAGCCAUGCCGCGUGUGUGAAGAAGGCCUUCGGGUUGUAAAGCACUUUCAGCGGGGAGGAAGGCGUUAAGGUUAAUAACCUUGGCGAUUGACGUUACCCGCAGAAGAAGCACCGGCUAACUCCGUGCCAGCAGCCGCGGUAAUACGGAGGGUGCAAGCGUUAAUCGGAAUUACUGGGCGUAAAGCGCACGCAGGCGGUCUGUCAAGUCGGAUGUGAAAUCCCCGGGCUUAACCUGGGAACUGCAUUCGAAACUGGCAGGCUAGAGUCUUGUAGAGGGGGGUAGAAUUCCAGGUGUAGCGGUGAAAUGCGUAGAGAUCUGGAGGAAUACCGGUGGCGAAGGCGGCCCCCUGGACAAAGACUGACGCUCAGGUGCGAAAGCGUGGGGAGCAAACAGGAUUAGAUACCCUGGUAGUCCACGCCGUAAACGAUGUCGAUUUGGAGGUUGUGCCCUUGAGGCGUGGCUUCCGGAGCUAACGCGUUAAAUCGACCGCCUGGGGAGUACGGCCGCAAGGUUAAAACUCAAAUGAAUUGACGGGGGCCCGCACAAGCGGUGGAGCAUGUGGUUUAAUUCGAUGCAACGCGAAGAACCUUACCUGGUCUUGACAUCCACAGAACUUUCCAGAGAUGGAUUGGUGCCUUCGGGAACUGUGAGACAGGUGCUGCAUGGCUGUCGUCAGCUCGUGUUGUGAAAUGUUGGGUUAAGUCCCGCAACGAGCGCAACCCUUAUCCUUUGUUGCCAGCGGUCCGGCCGGGAACUCAAAGGAGACUGCCAGUGAUAAACUGGAGGAAGGUGGGGAUGACGUCAAGUCAUCAUGGCCCUUACGACCAGGGCUACACACGUGCUACAAUGGCAUAUACAAAGAGAAGCGACCUCGCGAGAGCAAGCGGACCUCAUAAAGUAUGUCGUAGUCCGGAUUGGAGUCUGCAACUCGACUCCAUGAAGUCGGAAUCGCUAGUAAUCGUAGAUCAGAAUGCUACGGUGAAUACGUUCCCGGGCCUUGUACACACCGCCCGUCACACCAUGGGAGUGGGUUGCAAAAGAAGUAGGUAGCUUAACCUUCGGGAGGGCGCUUACCACUUUGUGAUUCAUGACUGGGGUGAAGUCGUAACAAGGUAACCGUAGGGGAACCUGCGGUUGGAUCACCUCCUUACCUUAAAGAA